rnacentral:rRNA from 1 species
AAAUCCGUACAAUUCCCCUUGAGUUGAUCUGGCUCGAAUCACGCUGGCGGCGUGCCUAACACAUGCAAGUCGAGCGAGAAAAGGGGAGCAAUCCCCUGAGUAAAGCGGCGCACGGGUGAGUAACACGUGGGUAAUCUGCCCUGGAGUGGGGAAUAACACCGGGAAACCGGUGCUAAUACCGCAUACGAUAAUGAUGUCUGCGGACGUUGUUAUGAAAGGAGCAAUUCGCUCCAGGAGGAGCCCGCGGCUGAUUAGCUAGUUGGUGAGGUAAUGGCUCACCAAGGCAACGAUCAGUAGCCGGUCUGAGAGGACGGUCGGCCACACUGGAACUGAGACACGGUCCAGACUCCUACGGGAGGCAGCAGUGGGGAAUUUUUGGCAAUGGGGGAAACCCUGACCAAGCAACGCCGCGUGGAUGAUGAAGUAUCUCGGUACGUAAAAUCCUUUCGACAGGGAAGAAACCCGCAAGGGUUGACGGUACCUGUAGAAGAAGCCCCGGCUAACUCCGUGCCAGCAGCCCGGUAAUACGGGGGGGGCAAGCGUUGUUCGGAAUUACUGGGCGUAAAGGGCGCGUAGGCGGUCAGCACAAGUCAGUUGUGAAAUCUCCGGGCUUAACUCGGAAAGGUCAACUGAUACUGUGCGACUAGAGUGCAGAAGGGGCAACUGGAAUUCUCGGUGUAGCGGUGAAAUGCGUAGAUAUCGAGAGGAACACCUGCGGCGAAAGCGGGGUGCUGGGCUGACACUGACGCUGAGGCC